UAAGUAGGUAGUGAAAGCGUGUGGCUCAACCAUACUCACAUUAUCUAAACUGCUAAGCUUGAGGAUGAGAGAGGUUAUUGGAAUUCCCUGUGUAGGAGUGAAAUCCGUAGAUAUAGGGAGGAACACCGAUGGCGUAGGCAGAUAACUGGCUCAUUCCUGACACUAAGGCACGAAAGCGUGGGGAGCAAACGGGAUUAGAUACCCCGGUAGUCCACGCCGUAAACUAUGGAUGCUA
rnacentral:rRNA from 1 species